UACGUAGGGGGCAAGCGUUGUCCGGAUUUAUUGGGCGUAAAGAGCGUGUAGGCGGCCCGGUAAGUCCGUUGUAAAAGUCAAAGGCUCAACCUUUGAAUGUCAGUGGAUACUGUCGGGCUAGAGUCCGGAAGAGGCGAGUGGAACUCCUGGUGUAGCGGUGGAAUGCGCAGAUAUCAGGAAGAACACCAACGGCGAAGGCAGCUCGCUAGGACGGUACUGACGCUGAGACGCGAAAGCGUGGGGAGCGAACAGG
rnacentral:rRNA from 1 species